CCUACGGGUGGCAGCAGUGGGGAAUAUUGGGCAAUGGGCGCAAGCCUGACCCAGCAACGCCGCGUGAAGGAAGAAGGCUUUCGGGUCGUAAACUUCUUUUCUCAGGGACGAAGCAAGUGCCGGUACCUGAGGAAUAAGCCACGGCUAACUACGUGCCAGCAGCCGCGGUAAUACGUAGGUGGCAAGCGUUAUCCGGAUUUACUGGGUGUAAAGGGCGUGUAGGCGGGACUGCAAGUCAGAUGUGAAAACCACGGGCUCAACCUGUGGCCUGCAUUGGAAACUGGAGUUCUUGAGUGCUGGAGGGGCAGACGGAAUUCCUGGUGUAGCGGUGAAAUGCGUAGAUAUUAGGAGGAACACCAGUGGCGAAGGCAGUCUGCUAGACAGCAACUGACACUGAGGCGCGAAAGCGUGGGGAGCAAACAGGAUUAGAUACCCGUGUAGUC
rnacentral:rRNA from 1 species